AUUGAACGCUGGCGGCAGGCCUAACACAUGCAAGUCGAACGAGUGGCGGACGGGUGAGUAAUGUCUGGGAACUGCCUGAUGGAGGGGGAUAACUACUGGAAACGGUAGCUAAUACCGCAUACUAUCGGAUAACCCAUAUGGGAUUAGCUAGUAGGUGAGGUAAUGGCUCACCUAGGCGACGAUCCCUAGCUGGGCUGAGAGGAUGAUCGGCCACACUGGUACUGAGACAAGGACCGGACGCCUACGGAGGCAGCAGUGGGGAAUAUUGCACAAUGGGCGCAAGCCUGAUGCAGCCAUGCCGCGUGUAUGAAGAAGGCCUUAGGGUUGUAAAGUACUGUCAGUAGGGAGGCGUUACCGACAGAAGAAGCACCGGCUAACUCCGUGCCAGCAGCCGCGGUAAUAC
rnacentral:rRNA from 1 species